AGUGAACGCUGGCGGUAGGCCUAACACAUGCAAGUCGAACGGCAGCACAGUAAGAGCUUGCUCUUACGGGUGGCGGGUGGCGGACGGGUGAGGAAUACAUCGGAAUCUACUUUUUCGGGGGGGGUAACGUAGGGAAACUUACGCUAAUACCGCAUACGACCUACGGGUGAAAGCAGGGGAUCUUCGGACCUUGCGCGAUUGAAUGAGGCGAUGUCGGAUUAGCUAGUUGGCGGGGUAAAGGCCCACCAAGGCGACGAUCCGUAGCUGGUCUGAGAGGAUGAUCAGCCACACUGGAACUGAGACACGGUCCAGACUCCUACGGGAGGCAGCAGUGGGGAAUAUUGGACAAUGGGCGCAAGCCUGAUCCAGCCAUACCGCGUGGGUGAAGAAGGCCUUCGGGUUGUAAAGCCCUUUUGUUGGGAAAGAAAAGCAGCAGGUUAAUACCCCGCUGUUCUGACGGUACCCAAAGAAUAAGCACCGGCUAACUUCGUG
rnacentral:rRNA from 1 species